GUGAGGUUUUAUGGCUGUGUGACUGUAUGACUUUUUGUAAACUUCAAUAUUUCCAACCUUUGUUUAGAUCGCUCUUAUAGUUGGAUCAUUAGUUUAAUUUGAUUUAUAUCUGCUGUUUACUACAAGCUGUCACUUCAAGUGUUCUCUGUGAGCUCGCGCUGCCACAAGCAUGUUAGAAGCGCAGUGGUCUCUGUCAUGGAAGGAGGCUGACCAUUCCUCAUCGCCUUUAAAUACUCUCAGAGGAAUUGAAUAGAGAUCCAUCAAACGGCUGAAAGUUGUUGGGGGCUUUAAGUUAGUCUGCUGAACAAAUGAAGUUGGUGGAGACUCUACCUUGACGUCGGCUCUCUUUGAUGCAACUGCUGGGUGUAGGAAAACCAAAUAGUUUCAGGGUCACUUGGACCGCUUUGUUUUUCCUAUGGCUGGAGAGCACUUGGGCAGGAGGCAGUUAGGUUUUAUUUUAAGAUAAUUUGUUGUUUGUAGAGUAAAAAAAGGGCUUUGAAUCUCCAUGGGAGCCAUUAUUUGUCUAUGCUGUUUUUUAAGGACGAAGCGUUGGACGUUUACAGAAUGCCUUGUUGUUCCUUUGGGACACACAGGAACCUAUGCUCCUUUUUCAAAACUGAAAGGAGAGAAGAAGCCUUGUGAGUCUGUAUUUGUUUCAGAGGUAAAACAGAGAAGUCAGGACAGAGGGAGAUUCAGUUGGUCACUGAAUUAAAAUAAGCAGAAAAAUCAUCAAAAUACAUCAAAUUCACUUCUCCAGUUCUGUGGACUGGCCUGUAGAUAUGUUGGCAUGAUAGUUAUGACUAUUUACUGACUAUGAAUUGACAUACAGGCAUUCACUAUUGGGCAUACUUAUAUAUUGGGCAUACUUAUAUAUAUAUUGGGCAUACUUAUAUAUUGGGCAUACUUAUAUUACAUAGAGUGACAGUAGUAUUGUGGCGCUCUAAAAGAAAGUCUUUAGAAGUCCAUAUGCCCUCAGUGUUGACCUGCCGGCCAAGGAGCGAAGCAGGCUCGCUCACGCCAGACUUAUUUCAAGUUCUUCCACCGAAGGGCAAGAUAAAGGACUUUGACACAGUGACUUCUCCCGACAUGACAGGCUUUUUUCUUCCCCUCUUGCUUUCGCUCUCCCCGAGUUUAAAAGUUGAAUCCCGGGUCAGCGGCUUUCAGCAGAAACCCAGACUAGAAUUCCAGAUGGUGAAGUAAGAGAGGGUCUCAGCUCAUCAAUUUAACGAGGGCUCCUAAAGCCGCGUCCCCGCUCAGGCCAGAGCUUCCGGCUGCGUCGGCUGCCUGCGCAAGCCGACAAAUUGAGACAUAUCUCGCCUAAUUGGUAACACGAUGACCGCAGUGUAAGAUUGGAAUUGGCUGCAGAAGAACCCCUUCCGAACUGACAUGUUUUUAAGAGGACCUUUAACAGCUUGAUCAGACUGCGGAGAGGAUGGCUUGUUUGGCACCAUGCCAGCACGUCACUGGGAUCGAACGACUCAGAGAUGAAAAACAAAUGGCAGAGGUGGAGAGGAGCACCCGUGCAGGCCAGAGGCAGCAGUGUCGUGGACAGUUUUAGCGUUGCAGUGAUUUAAUCAGAGGCGAAGAACAGCCUCGUCUCCAUGGUGUGGCUACACUCAGAUUUUCUCAUACUUUCAAACUCUGAUGUUUGUGUCACUGUUGCCAUGAGAGCCGAAUGGUUGGCAAGACCAGAAGCAAUGAAGAUAACCUUAAAAGCUAUCAUAGAUCAAGACACAGGGACUGUUCAAGGACACUGCUGAAUACCUCUUAUGAUUAAAUGCAACACACAAGGUUUGUAUCUGGCCAUUCUACUGGCUUUUCAUUCAGUGUCCACCAACAGCUGUGUGUUAACAAGUCUUUUGGCUCAGGGUGUAUUUGAAUGGACAGAGACCUCGUCAGUUAUAAAUCUUGCAACAUAAAAAUAUAUAUCACAGUGACACUGUAAUCUCCCUUUUAUUACUAUAUAUAUAUAUAUAUAUAUGUAUUUUUUUUUUUUUUUCAACGUACAUCUCAGAAGUGUGAUAAAACAUGUAUUUCAAACUCUGCCAAGCCUCUCUCUGACGUUCACAUUUGAUUAAUUUUGUAUUGUGGUUCCAUUUUUUGGUUGCUGUUGUGUGUCUGUGUUCUCCAUGGGCUACAUAUUGACAUUAAUCUAUAAACAAGGUGUUGGCUCUGUGCUCUGCCAUUCUGUUCGGCCAGUGGCGGCUAUCCUCAGUCCAAGACAAUGAGAACUUUGACUCAUAUGAUUUUCUAAACGUUUUCCCUUACCUAGUCCUAUGCAGAUCCUGUCUCAGACCACUUGACUGAUAUGACAGGUACUGAAUGUUUAUACACAUAUGUGCAAAUGUUGGAUGAUGCCAUGUCAUGGAGGAAAUGAGCCCACAAGUGGUGACGACCUUAACCAACCACAGAUGCACUUUUCCAUCGUCGACCACAGGGACAAACUGUUCAGGAACUGAUGCUUCACAAGCUAGAACCAGAUAAGGCAAAUAUAAUUCAGAAAAUAGGGUUCAUGAGCGAGUGAGGUGAGACCAUUUACAUAACUUGCAAGAUAUAAUUCUUUCAGCUUGCGUGUGGGGCGCCAACUGCCAUUUUAGCUAUCCCCUCUAAUUAUUCUUUGGCAUUUGAUGACUGGGCCUAAACCGUUUCUCUAACUAUAACCAUCAGAACAGACAGUUGGUAGAUGCAAAAAAUAAACAUUAAGGAAUUAAUCCUCUUGAUUGCACAUUGCUGUGUAAAUGUUUGUUGCCGAUUGUAAUGUAUGGCAAUUCUAACUUCUAGCAGGAUUGUAUUUGUAACACUUGCAGACCUUCUCUCGCUUUAUUGAAAUGUCGUUUUAAAAGGGAAUGAUGGAAUAAUUAUGUUUUUAUAAAGUUUCAGAUGAAUUGAGAACAUGACCUUUCUGUAUUUUAAAGUCAGUCAGAUAUAUGAUCAUGGGUCACUUUGAGACAGGAGACAUCAUAUUUUCUCCUCUGCUUUGCUUUGUCAGAAUCGUGUCCUGGUGAGUGGUGAGUGACAGUGUCACCAUCUCUGCCUUCUAAUAGUCUAGGUGAAUUCCGUCUAAACUUGUCUAAACUGUUUCUUCGCCACAUGUGUAUGCUGUGAUGACACCUUUGAGUCUGUUUUUCAAUGCACUCCGCCUGUUCUCGGCAAAUUCUAGAUUGAUGCCAAGGGUUAAAAAUAAUGAUUUUCUUCCCUCCCCUGUGUGUCUCUCUCUCUCUCUCUCUCUCUCUCUCUCUCUGUGUGUGGGUGUGUGUGUGUGUGUUGUCAUAUACCACCAAAACAGGACACAAAUAAUAAUGUUCAAUACAUUACAAGAUGUCCUCAGCUUAUUUUGGUCAUAAAAUAACAAUGUUUUACUGAGAUAAAUGGUGGCCUUUCGGUUUUAAUUGGAAUUCAGUGGAACGUGACCCUAUUUCGUUGUCCCUUAAAUAGUGGUGGAACUUUAGGCUACUCCGUUGAUAUUGCAUGAUACCAGCUUAUCUGCUGAUUUUUCUUCUCUCAAGAUGCUGGAGUAACUUUCCCGUCAGAACCGACAGAUCCCCUGACGGAGGUGUAUUUUCAUGUGGUGUCUUGGGUGAGGGGCUGACCCCGUGGUUUGUUUUAACGCAUGCUGGGAUCACUUGACCGUUAACCGUUUUCACCCCUCCCUCUGUGAGGAGUUCAACAAAAAGUCAACACCUGUGGAUGAGUUUCGGGAUGACCUCUCCGUUAAUAAGCAGAUAAGAGACGGGCGUUAUUAUCUAAGCAGAAUUCCCACCGAGACAAAGUACAUUAAUCUUCGAGAUUCUCUUGGCUCCUUAAAGUACGCAUUUAGAGGCUCCGCGAAGCGUUUUAUUUACUGUUGUCUUUGUGAAAUAUAUUGUCCUGAUAUACUGGACAAAAAAUGUGUGUCAAGGCGAAAUGGUGCACCAUUUAAAAUGUAUAUUUCGGACUUAAUUAUGUUAGACAAAACAAUCGACGGAUUAUAGAAGUAUAUUGACUUAGGGGCAAAAAUGAAAACAUUGUUGGUUAAGGCAGGCUAAAUGUUUUUAGUGUGGUGUCUUUGUGUUUAUAAAUUCCAGUUAGGCCUAUUUUUGGUUCAUCACCAAACUAAAUAGACUCACAGUUGUUGAUCACUGUCAAUGAUAUUUGAAACGGUCACAACCGAAAUCCUUUCAACUUUCCUAAAAAAGAAAGAACACAAACUCUACAAUUCUUAGUGUGCCACUCUUACAUCGAUAUUGAUGAAUUUUGAAUUUAUUUGAACGUCGAUUUUGAUAGGCAUAAUAACCAUCAAAUCGAAAAAGGGAGUAGUGUUUAUUCGGCAAAAAUUAAUUUCACCAUAUUUUCCACUCAAGGUGUCUUCGCCAUAGGCUCCCAUACACACACAAGAACCAUGUUUAAGAAAAAAAUUCAGGCCUUUGAGGCAGAACAUUUACAUAUUGUU
ensembl:lncRNA